rnacentral:rRNA from 1 species
CGUAGGCAGCAAGCGUUGUUCGGAGUUACUGGGCGUAAAGGGUGUGUUAGGCGGUUAUUUAAGUUUGGUGUGAAAUCUCCCGGCUCAACCGGGAGGGUGCGCCGAAUACUGAAUGACUUGGAGUGCGGGAGAGGAAAGUGGAAUUCCUGGUGUAGCGGUGAAAUGCGUAGAUAUCAGGAGGAACACCGGUGGUGUAGACGGCUUUCUGGACCGUAACUGACGCUGAGACACGAAAGCGUGGGUAGCAAACAGGAUUAGAUACCCUGGUAGUCCACGCCCUAAACGAUGCAUAUUUGGUGUGGGCAGUUCAUUCUGUCCGUGCCGGAGCUAACGCGUUAAAUAUGCCGCCUGGGGAGUACAGUCGCAAGGCUG